UUCAAUGAAAAGGCUCCUUCUGCUCUUCUAAGUGUUCUUCUUCCCGAAGCUUCGAGCUUCAGCCAUGGUAGAUGGAAUCGAGCUUCAUUGAGCUCAUCUAACUUGCAAUUUACACUGUUAGUUUUCCUUUCUUAUAUCCAUAUACAUUCACACACGAAAACACAUACAAAAGACACAGACAAAAAAAGAAAAAGAAAAGAGGAAUGACCUGCCGCUGUUUCACCCCUUAUAAGCUUUCACAAUUCAUUUUCUUAGCACCAAUUACAGCAGCCAUUUCCACUCUGAUUUUCCAAAGAAAAACGGCAGAGAAGAUCUGAAAAUAGGAAACAUAUCUGAAAAUACACUAAAAGGGGCUGAAGAAAAGAGGUAGCAGCUCCUUUCUUCCUGACUUGAAAAAACGAUUUCCUUUUUCCUUAUUUUAGCACCAAAAAAUUCAGCGAACACUGAUCCAAAUCUGCCACAAAAUCAACCAAAAAAACUCCACCAAACCAGCCCUCUUCCACCAUAAAAAUGCAGUUGCUUCCAUCUUCAUUCAUUGUCAAUGCUAUCUGGAGUUGAAGAAGUCCGGGAGGCCGUUCGAGGUGCCGAGGUCGCUGGGAAAAAUUUCCAGUUGAAAUCUAAUCUUGCACUCGAUAUAUGCUGUUGUGACCAAUUCAUAGUGAAGCUAUAAAGGUCCGAUUUCAUUAUCUUUAAUCAUUUUACUGAUAUAUUGCUUGUGCUUAGCUGUUGGUUGAGCUUAUUUUGAUAAAAUCUUGGUAUGAAGCAGCCUACUAUGUAGUGGUUGGAAUUAUCUUUGUGUUCCUACUGUUUUUCCACAUUCUUUAAUCCUAUUAAUUGGUGGUUUAAGAAUAUUUGUAGAAAUUGAUGAAUUAUUGGCCCAGUUGAUUGUUAAGUAAGUCUUGAGUUUUUCACUUGGGAUUAAAAGGAUUUGAGUCAUAAUUUAAUGUAAAUGGGCAUUGGCAUCAAGAAAUUGGACAAUUUCACAUCAGUACCAUUGGGCUCCUUACUUUUUAUUUUAUAGCUCAUAUUUUAAUUUACAAUUAACCAAAAAUAAUAGGCUAAGAUUUAACAUCCAUCUCCAAUAGAUUCUCAAAAUUACUAUUUAAGUUAUUAAAUAUGUGGAUUUAAAAUUCGAAUUUAAGUUUUUUGAGAAAUAUGUGUGUAUUUGUCUUAGGUUAAAAGCAAGAACAUGAUCUCCUUCCCGUUUUUUAUUGUGCAAAUCUCCUCUUUCCCUACUUUUCGUUUUUUCUGUUUUCUCUCGUCUGAGACUCCUCUCCCUCUCCCUGUUUUAUUUUUGUCCCUUUUUUUAUUUUUUUUAUUUUGGGGUGUAGCUUUGUGUGUGUUUUUUUCUGAAAUCUGCCGAGCCCCUCUCUUUAUUAUGUGUGUCUAGAAGAUAUAUAGGUAUAAGUACAUGGAUUAAUUGGUGGUCUAGAAAAAAGUGUGUGUAUAUGCAUGAGAGUUUUGAGGGAGAGCAUGUGAGUUUGUUACAAAAGAUACAGAAGAAUUUUACCACAUGAAAAUGACUCAUUAACUCUUGCUUUAAUUAAUGUUUUUUAUUUUCUUUUAAGAGCGUAAAAUAAAGAUAUUAGCUAAAUAUAUUAAAAUAAAGAACCCAAUUUUUUGAUUUUUAAUUUUCUUAAAUAAAACCUACUAAAAAUAAAAAAAAAUUUAAAGUAUGUAGAUUAAACUUAGAAGUAUUUACAUACACUAAAAGUGCUAAAAAAAUUCCAAGUAUGGUAAAAAAAUUAGGUGCUCACAAUCAUAAUUAAUUUAUAUUAGCGCUCUAGCGGGAUCCACCCCUAUAGAGUCUAACAUACUGAUAGUGAGCGUAGGUACUUACUGAUUACAAGUGCCGAGUACGAGUUCCGAAUAAUCAUGAGGACUGCGUGAUUAGGAUGACUGAGUAACUGGGAGGACUGAGUGACUUGGAUGAUUGUGUGAUUGAGCGUGCUGAGUGAGGUUGACUGCUCCGAGCAUGAGCACAUCGCUGUGGUGCGUUACACAUUUUAUGCAUACUUGGCAUGUAGGCAUAGCGAUGCAUUUCCUCAUGUUGUACGGUACUGUGGCAUUCAUGACUUCAUAUGCACAUUGAUAUGUAGGCAUAAAGAUGUAAUUUCCUCAUGCCAUGUGAUAAUGAAAUAUCUUAUAUUUUGUUGAAAGUUUUGGAAGAAUCUUAGUUUUUCUAACAUACUCACAUUUUGGUGAUUUCGGUAAAAUAUUUGGGCUUUGUUGUUAUACCUGAAAAAUCAUUUCUAUUUUCCAUAUCCAUGAAUGAGUUGAGUAUCAUAUCUUGAGUAUUACUUGUACCAUUUUCAUUAUAUUGUUAUGAGUUGUUCUUGGCUGUUAGUGUCCGACUCUCAGCAUAGUCCAAGCUUGUCACUGCUUUUAACCAAAGGUUAGGAUUGUUACUUAUUGAGUACAUGAGGUCGGUUAUACUCAUACUAUUGUUCCGCACCUUGCAUGGAGAUUUCGAAGUUGAUGUUGCUGUGUGUGGUGGGAGCUGGCACUGAAGAUGUACCUACAUUUCGAUUAUAACUUUCUCUUGUUCUUGGUAGCUUUAGAUUUAUGAAUGUGUUUAUGUAUAUUUCGAACAGAUGAUAUAUUUAUUUUAUACCAGCUUUGUAUACUCUG
rnacentral:lncRNA from 1 species